GGUAUUCUAAGCAUGACAACCACUCCUUACAAAAUAAGAAAGUUCCAUUACAUCAAGGGGAAUUCUUUUCAAAAGGAAGUGGUGGCAUGGUAAGCUGAGGUCCUGGAUAAGUAGAUACAAACAUUGCUGGCUCACACAAGUCUGCUAUAGAAUAUGAAGAUAGUUGAUGGGGAUGAAGAAAAGGAGGUGCAGAAAGAACUGAUGACCUACCCAGCAGCAGAGUACAAGGGUCCUACACACAUGAGACUGAGGACAGAUUCCCAGAGACUCUGUUCCCUAUUUGAUGACAUCAAGGUACCAUGCCUUAUAGUGAAACUUCUUCCAGGAGCAAUUGGCUUGGGUAGCUUAAAAAGAUGCAACGGACAAGGAGUUCCUUUCAUCUUAAUGGAGAACUGGCAUCUUCAAUUAGAAAGUAUUUAAACUAUGCUAAAACAUAUGUUCUGAAAGUACAAGGAAAAGAAGGAAUUUAAGUGAGGAAUUUUCAAGUACGAUUUAUCCCAGAAGAAUGUCCAAACAAAGAAAGAAGCUAUAAAACUGAAAAAGAUAUCAUCACAAGUAAUGACAAUGAUCAAGACAAAGGAAUCAAGGGCUGGGACAUGGUGGUCCUUCAGGAUAUGGGACUUCUCAGUCCUUAUAAUUCAUGCUUUUUCAUAGAGAGCCAAAAAACUAGUGUCUGUCCUAUUCUAACAAUACUUACCAGUGUCUAAGAACCAAAUCAACUGACUUCUGGGAAAAUAUAUGUUAUAUAAAAGUAGGAGCAAGGAUAAUAAAAAUACUUCACUUGA